UACGGAGGGGACUAGCGUUGUUCGGAAUUACUGGGCGUAAAGCGCACGUAGGCGGAUUUGUAAGUCAGGGGUGAAAUCCCGGGGCUCAACCCGACGUGCUUCUGAUACUGCGAAUCUCGAGUCCGGAAGAGGUGAGUGGAAUUCCUAGUGUAGAGGUGAAAUUCGUAGAUAUUAGGAAGAACACCAGUGGCGAAGGCGGCUCACUGGUCCGGUACUGACGCUGAGGUGCGAAAAGCGUGGGGAGCAACAGG
rnacentral:rRNA from 1 species